AACCUGGUUGAUCCUGCCGGAGGCUACCGCUAUUGGAGUUCGAUUAAGCCAUGCGAGUCGAGAGUCUUAGGGACUCGGCGUACCGCUCAGUAACACGUGGGUAACCUGCCCUAUGCUGGGGAAUAACCUCGGGAAACUGAGAAUAAUACCCCAUAGCCCACCAUGCCUGGAACGGUUGGUGGAUCAAAGCUCCGGCGGCAUAGGAUGGGCCUGCGGCGUAUCAGGUUGUAGGGGGUGUAACGUACCCUCUAGCCAUCAACGCGUACGGGUGUUGGAAGACAUAGCCCGGAGAUGGAUUCUGAGACACGAAUCCAGACCCUACGGGGUGCAGCAGGCGCGAAAACUUGGCAAUGCGAGAAAUCGUGACCAGGGAACUCCAAGUGUCUGGGGUAAGACCCAGUCUUUUCAUGACUCUUCAAAGGUCUUGGAAUAAGAGGUGGGUAAGGACGGUGCCAGCCGCCGCGGUAAUACCGGCGCCUCAAGUGGUAGUCGAUUUUAUUGGGCCUAAAACGUCCGUAGCCUGUUUGGUACAUUCGUGGGUAAAUCAACCAGCUUAACUGAUUGAAUUCUGCGAGCACGGCCAGACUUGGGACCGGGAGAGGUGUGGGGUACGCUCAGGGUAGGGGUAAAAUCCUGUCAUCCUGAGCGGACCACCUGUUGCGAAGGCGCCACACUAGAACGGAUCCGACGGUCAGGGACGAAGCCUAGGGGCACGAACCGGAUUAGAUACCCGGGUAGUCCUAGGUGUAAACGCUGUGGACUUGGUGUUGGGGAUUCUCCGAGGAUUCUCAGUGCCGAAGCGAAGGUGAUAAGUCCACUGCCUGGGGAGUACGGUCGCAAGGCUGAAACUUAAAGGAAUUGGCGGGGGAGCACCGCAACCUGAGGAUUGUGCGGUUUAAUUGGAUUCAACGCCGGAAAACUCACCAGUGCCGACGGCAAAUGAAGCCAGUUUAAUGAGCUUGCUGGAUUGUUCGAGAGG
rnacentral:rRNA from 1 species